AUUGAACGCUGGCGGCAUGCCUUACACAUGCAAGUCGAACGGCAGCAUGGAGAGCUUGCUCUCUGAUGGCGAGUGGCGAACGGGUGAGUAAUGCAUCGGAACGUACCGUGUAAUGGGGGAUAACGUAGCGAAAGUUACGCUAAUACCGCAUACGACCUGAGGGUGAAAGCAGGGGAUCGCAAGACCUUGCGUUAUACGAGCGGCCGAUGUCAGAUUAGCUAGUUGGUGAGGUAAAGGCUCACCAAGGCGACGAUCUGGAGCGGGUCUGAGAGGAUCAUCCGCCCACCUGGGACUGAGACACGGCCCAGACUCCUACGGGAGGCAGCAGUGGGGAAUUUUGGACAAUGGGGGCAACCCUGAUCCAGCCAUGCCGCGUGAGUGAAGAAGGCCUUCGGGUUGUAAAGCUCUUUCGGCCGGGAAGAAAUCGCACAGGCUAAUACUCUGUGUGGAUGACGGUACCGGCAUAAGAAGCACCGGCUAACUACGUGCCAGCAGCCGCGGUAA
rnacentral:rRNA from 1 species